rnacentral:rRNA from 1 species
UACGUAGGUGGCAAGCGUUAUCCGGAAUUACUGGGUGUAAAGGGAGCGCAGGCGGGAUAGCAAGUCAGCUGUGAAAACUAUGGGCUCAACCCAUAAACUGCAGUUGAAACUGUUAUUCUUGAGUGGAGUAGAGGCAAGCGGAAUUCCGAGUGUAGCGGUGAAAUGCGUAGAUAUUCGGAGGAACACCAGUGGCGAAGGCGGCUUGCUGGGCUCUAACUGACGCUGAGGCUCGAAAGUGUGGGGAGCAAACAGGAUUAGAUACCAGUCCGGCUGACUGACU